UUUCCGUAGGUGAACCUGCGGAAGGAUCAUUCAUAAUAAGUGUUUUAUGGCACUUUUUUAAAUCCAUAUCCACCUUGUGUGCAAUGUCAGGGUUGAUUGUUCCCUCGAGAGGAUCAGCCCCAAACAUCAACUAUAUCUCAACUCUUUGUCUGAAAAAUAUUAUGAAUAAAACAAUUCAAAAUACAACUUUCAACAACGGAUCUCUUGGCUCUC
rnacentral:misc_RNA from 1 species